GGUUGUGGUUCAGUGGUAGAAUGCUCACCUAGCAUGCAUGAGGUACUGGGUUUGAUCCCGGCACCA
rnacentral:tRNA from 1 species